ACAUAACAAUAAAAAAGUAAAAAAAAACCACAUGGCUUUAUUAAGAGAUUUGUAGGCUGUUCAUUUUGCCCUUUGUUUUUGUUCCCUGUUUUCAGCAUCAUUUGUUUCCCAAAUAAUAUCUUUUUCUUUGUCCAAUUUUAUUUGCAUGACUUGUGGGGAUAGGGUGUUUUGGAUGACAAUAGAUGUGAAUUAAUGUAAAACUAUAAACUUCUAAGAAAAGGAAAAACUGCUGACAAGAAAUCUGUGAUUUAAUACUCUAUCAUGCUACCAAGGAUGUCUCUUCUGAGCUGAUAAAAGAUAGUAGUAGCCUGCUUCUCUCAUUGCAUUUCACUUUGAUUUUUUUUCUCUCUUCCAUGUCAACCUAAAUUUCUCUUCCCAUAAUUCUAUCUUCAUCUCCUUGUUUCUUGGUGUCUCUUCUCCCUGAAGAUCACUACAUUUCAAGCUAUCGGAAAGGAGGCACUACAGUUCGAAAGGAGAUCAUCAAGAAUAAAAUCAGAGCCAUUGGGAAGAUGGCACGGGUCUUUUCAAUUCUGCGGGAAGAGAGUGAGAGUGUGCUGACUCUCAAGGGCCUGACUCCAACAGGGACACUCCCUCUAGGUGUCCUCUCAGGAGGAAAGCAGACUAUUGAG